GUAGUGGCUUGCAUUAUUCGUACGACGAAAAGAUUGUAGUUUUUAGCGAUAAGAAGGUGAAAGAUUUUUAAGCUUGUGCUGGUUGGUGCGUUUUUUCUUUGUGCAAUAAAACGUAAUUGGUGGUUUGCACAGAAGGUGGUUAAAUCCAAAAGAUAUAAAGGAUUUUUAAAUUAUUGAAAUGUAAGUAAUAAAAUUAUAAAUAUGUGUUAUUAUUUAUUAAAUAUUCAUAAAA